CUACAUUGCUGGAUCCUUGGCCCACAUCACGGAUCUGGCUGCUGAGGCAGGCGCACACAGCAACGCCUGCCCCAGCUCUGCAGUGCGACACAGAGCCAACGAGUUCCCACCUGGAGAACAGGGCAAAGGAGAAGACAAUAAGUUUAGGGCAAAAUCAGAUUGGAAGCACCACAGGAACAUGGAUUCUCACUGAAUGAAGGUAAGAGGAUGAGGGACAGCCAGGAGGAGGAAGAGGGAGGAGGAUGUGCUUAAUUAUUUCAAGAAGAACCUAGUGACAUGAGCAGCACUCCCACAUCGCUUAUUAUUCAGGUACGCGUUGCCGUUGUGACCUCCAACUGCAAAAAUUCUGCCCAUCAGCGUUGCGAUGCCAACUCCCCCCCUUGGGGUUGUAAGCUCUGCGACAUACUCCCAUUUGUCACUACGUGGGUCAAAGCGCUCCACGGAACUCAGCGGAGAGUUGUCAUCGAAGCCACCUGCAAAGAGUCACCAUAUACUGAGAUGUGGCCGCUUCCAGUGGUGGUGAUAGCCCAGAUGUGCAUUGCAGGCCUUUUCUUAGCAUGCAGUGGGCUAGAGCCCCAGUCUACGUUUUUAACCAAAUCUCAAAGCUGCCUGAAAAUUAAUGCAACAGCUCUCUCCGCUGUCAACAAGCUCUUGCAGUACAUUCAAAACAAGCCCCUGCUGAAAACCAAAGGAGGAAACAAAUCCUUGAAUAAGACUGACUUCAGUAAUGCGUUCCCAUUGUUUGUGGGCCAGUGCAACUUCUUAUUUCCUGGCUACCACUCCUUUGUUCAAGUGUGCCCUCGUUGUGCUUUCUUCUCCUGCACAAGAGCACGUCAUACAGGACAGCUCUGUCCAACGCAGUGCCCCUGGCCUACUUACCAACAACAUACAGGCAACCGUGGAGCUCACUGACGCCGUUGCCGGCUCUUCGCUGGCCCAUCUCUUUCACUUCCAUCCACUUGUCCAAAUGGGGAUCGUAUUUCUCCACGCUGGAAAGAGACGCUAUGCCGUCAUUGCCACCCACAGCGUAGACGUGGUUCUGAAAAAGUUGCACAGGGAAAGAUUGUUUAGAAGACUUAGAUGAUAUUUGAAAAGCAGGCCUGGAUCCUGGCCCUGACCUGCAAGGAAACAAACUCACCAUGAGGGCUACGGAGCCGACUCCCCCCCGGGGCGUGUUCAUGGGGGCUACUGCACUCCAUCGAUCGGACUCGAUGUCGUAUCUUUCCACAUCACUGAAGCACGUGUUGUCAUCUAGACCUCCUAUUGCGUAAAUGGGGCCCCCGAGGGAAGCGAGAGCAAUUCCUCUCCUAAGAGAACCACAGAAUCAGUGCCUCGGUGCAUAUCCUCAAAGGGGAUGGGAAAGACAUCAGGUGCAGUAUUAACUGACUGGGAAGGAUUUCCAUUCUGCUGCAGCAACACAGGGGCGACCGUGGACAGAGGGGAGUUGCAUCAUGGAUACUAAGAUGCCCAGGCCUGGCAGAAGUUGUGGACCCAAAAAUAAAGGGCCGAAGAACCAGCUGUUCUUAUUUAUAGAGUAACACUCAAUGCUGCGGAAUGGGUCACCCGAUCCUCCUCUGCCACCAACACAGAACAGCACACCUGGAGGAGACAAAGGAGGUUUCCAGAGACUAGCAGAGAAAAUAGGGAUAAAAUUCUGCAGCAGAGUAGACGGUCGCUGGAGGACAACAGUUUAUGGAGGUGCUGAGGUGAGACGCUCACAAAGUCUUCACAUUCCACCACCUCAGUAAAAUGUUCACAAGCGUACUGAUCGGCCAUGUCCAUCAGGUCAAUGCGGUUGUGGCUCUCUGCAAACGACCUGACCGCCAGGCAGUUGGAGGGAUGGAAGUGCAGCUUCAUAUAUUCACAGCACGCCUUUGCUACCAGUUCCACCUGAAGAAUGCAAGCGGCAUACAGGAGUGGCUGGACAUUAUCCACGGUCAGUGUCAGCCGGGAGGAGUAGACAAACUUCACGAGGUCUUCUAUCGCAUCGCCAUCAAAGUCCCUGAUCUCAAUCAACGUCUGCUUGGCUUCGGCCAUUUCUGAAAGAAACAUGGCUCGGAAGUAAGGAGAAUGCUGGAAGCUGCUACAGAAAUCCUGUUUGCCAGGAAAGAUCUGGCACAGAAACACAGAAUGUAAAAUUAUGGAUAAAAUUUGGGAUCAAAGUGUGUGAACAGAGAGGCUGCAAGGAGCUGGAAGCACACAGAAAUGACAACAAAUCAACCACGGGAACUUCCUUACAGGGCAAACUGGGUGAGCGUAACAUCACAGAGCUCUCCAGCCUCAAAGAAGUGAAGAAGAGAGCUGUGGAAAUCCUUCCAAGCCUCGUUUGCUUCAAAUACAAAGAUAUCAUCUUCACCAUCACCGCUGGAAGACCGAGUUUGCUGCUGCUGCGGCCGC